UAAUACGAAGGGGGCUAGCGUUGUUCGGAAUGACUGGGCGUAAAGGGUGUGUAGGCGGUUAAACACGUCAGAUGUGAAAUCCCCGGGCUUAACCUGGGAAUGGCAUUUGAUACGGUAUAGCUAGAGAUUGGUAGAGGGUAGAGGAAUUGCGAGUGUAGAGGUGAAAUUCGUAGAGAUUCGCAGGAACACCGGUGGCGAAGGCGGCUACCUGGGCCAAUACUGACGCUGAGGCACGAGAGCGUGGGGAGCAAACAGGAUUAGAUACCCUGGUAGUCCACGCCGUAAACGAUGAGUGCUAGAUGUUGCGUGUGAACGCAUGCAGUGUCGCAGUUAACGCAUUAAGCACUCCGCCUGGGGAGUACGGUCGCAAGAUUA
rnacentral:rRNA from 1 species